UAACACUUCCUCUUCCACUGGUCACUGGGACGUCUUGUGCUUCGUGCUUGUGAUCCCAUUCCCUCCUCCACAGAGGCUGGAGACAGCCAGAGCAUCUCAAAAAUUUGAUGAGAGUGUCAUGAAGUAAUGAAGGAUCAUGGGAGCUGUUAUCUUAAUCAUUUAAGUGCAAUCCACGCCAAAGGCAUCAAAUUAUGAUCAUCUAUCCAUCCAAUUUCUAUAUCACUUAUCCCGCUGUGGUUACAGGGAGCUGGAGCCUAUCCCAGCUGUCAUUGGCCAAGAGGCAGGAUACACCCUGGACUUGGUAAAAGUGAUUUACGAUGCUGACCUCGUCCGUGGCCUCUUUUCUGGACAGGAAGAGGUUCAAGGAAUGGCCACCAGGACUCGGGAUGACAUUAACAGACACUUUACACACU